rnacentral:lncRNA from 1 species
UAUAGCAAAAUGCAACAAAUAUUAAGAUAGAAUAAUGAUCCUUGAUACAAAUUAUACAAAUACAAGAUAUUAGACAUCAAAUUGGCACUAUACAUUAUGACUAUAUUAAAUGGACUAAAAUAAUAUAAUAUAAGUAAUGAGAAUAAUACAAAAUAAAAAUAAAAAAUAGAUAUACAUCAAAUAGAGUUGAAUAUCACAAAGUUAUCAACAACAAAGAAUGAAUUGAGAAUAUUGAAGAUAAAGAGUCAA